rnacentral:piRNA from 1 species
UGGAAACUAACUAGACAUUCA